CCCUUAGAUGUUCUGGGCCGCACGCGCGCUACACUGUUCGACGCAGCGAGUCUUAACCUUGACCGAAAGGUUUGGGUAAUCUUCAGCAAAGUCGAACGUGAUGGGGAUCGAUCAUUGCAAUUAUUGAUCGUGAACGAGGAAUUCCUAGUAAGUGCAAGUCAUCAGCUUGCGCUGAUUACGUCCCUGCCCUUUGUACACACCGCCCGUCGCUCCUACCGAUUGAGUGGUCCGGUGAGGCUUUGGGAUCUGAGCGGAAAGAGCGUUUCGCUGUUUCUGCUCGGAAAACUCAGUCGAACCUUAUCAUUUAGAGGAAGGAGAAGUCGUAACA
rnacentral:rRNA from 1 species